UUUGAAAUAGGGCAAAACUACUGAAAGGUAGUGACGCAAAGCCAAGGGUCUAAUUCAUCUCAAGAUGAAACGACAGCCGGUUGCUCGG
rfam:Eubacterium limosum KIST612, complete genome.